AUGGAGAGGGUGAUGGUGAGCGCUGUGACAGGAGUGAUUUCACCACUCCUGCGCAAGCUCACGGCCUUGCUGGAGAAGAAGUACAAGCUGUCCAAAGAUGUGAAGAAGGAGAUCACCUCUUUGAAAGAUGAGAUGAGCUCUAUGAGUGCUCUGCUCGUGACGCUGUCUAGGACCGAGGAGCUCGAUGAGCAACAGAAGGACUGGCGUGACAAGGUCCGUGAGCUGUCUUAUGGUAUGGAAGACUGCAUCGACAUAUUCAUGAAUGAUCUUGAUAGUGCUGAUGCCAAGGCUGGGCUUUUGGGUGGACUAAAGAAGCUCAAGGCUCACUACAAGAUUGCUAACAGGAUCGAAGAACUGAAGGCAAAGGUCUUGGAAGCAAGCGAUCGUCACAAUAGAUAUAAGCUUGAUGAGCAUGUUGGUUCUUCUCGGGGCCCUGAAGCUAUUGACCCUCGUGUACAGGCACUCUACACCGAGGCCAGUAGCCUUGUAGGCAUAGAUCGCCCAAAGGACAAGCUUAUCGAGUUGCUGAUGAUGGAGGAGAAUGCACCACAACUUCAUGUGGUAUCAGUUGUUGGAUUUGGAGGCAUGGGCAAGACAACUCUUGCCAAACAAGUUCAUGAUAAAAUCAAAAGCCAAUUUGAUUGUACAGCCUUUGUAUCGGUGUCUCAAAAUCCCAAUCUUGUCAAGGUAUUGUCAGAUAUACUCUCUGGAGUUUGGGGGCAGGUGCCUUCUUUCCUGAAUGAUGAGCGCCAACUGAUCGACAAACUCAGGGAAGUUCUCCAAAACAAAAGAUACCUUAUCGUGAUUGAUGAUAUAUGGGCAAUGGAAGCAUGGAACAUUAUUAAAUGUUCUUUCAUGGAGAAUAAUCGUGGUAGUAGAGUUAUAAUUACUACACGUAUUGAAGAUGUAGCUCAUGCAUGCUGUUCUUGUUUCCAUGGCCAUGUCUACAACAUCAAACCUCUUAAUGAUCUUGACUCAAGGAGAUUAUUCCAUAGAAGGAUUUUCCCCUUUGAAGAUGCUUGUCCUGAGAAACUAACAAAUGUUUCUGAUGAAAUUCUAAAGAAAUGUCAAGGGGUUCCACUAGCCAUACUGAGUGUAGCCAGCCUUUUGGCUAAUCAUAAGGAGGUAAAUUCAAAGGAAUUCUGGGAAAGGAUACAAAAUUAUUUAAGUUUACAAUUGGAAGGAAACCCUGCUUUAGAAUGGAUGCGACAUGUCCUUAAUCUUGGAUACAACUAUUUAUCUCUGGAUCUUAAGACCUGCAUGCUAUAUCUCGGGAUAUUUCCUGAAGAUUAUGAAAUAAGAAAGGAUGAUUUGGUUAAGAGGUGGAUCGCCGAGGGUUUUGUGGGUCUAGAGGAGAUUGCAGAAAAUUAUUUUAGUGAGCUCAUCAAUAAAAACAUGAUCCAAAUAGCCGAGUUUGAUGAUUGUGGGAAUGUGUUGUCUUGUCGAGUGCAUGAUCUAAUGCUUGACUUUAUCAUACUGAAGUCCACAGAAGAAAACUUUUUCACUGUAACUAAGGAAUUCCCUGUAAUUCAUGAUCCACAUACCAUGAAAGGCUCCAUGGAAGUUCGCCGACUGUCCCUCCAACUCAGAAAUACAGAAUGCAAUCAUGUGCUAGGGAACAUUGCUCUGGCCCAAGUUAGGUCAUUUAACUUUUGGGGCCCUGGUCAAUGUAUGCCUUCUCUCUCGAGGUUUCAACUUGUGAGAGUUCUACAUCUUGAUGUGUAUGAUUCCAAGGAAGAGCAGUAUGAUCUGCCUUCGAUACGCAGUUUGUUCCUACUGACAUAUUUGAGGAUCAGAGGUUUGAAGUGUGAUGAACUGCUAAAACAAUUGCAAACACUGAAACAUUUGAAGUCAUUGGAGAUAGUCGGUGGAGGAAAUCGUGGAGAGCUAGAUGUUCGCUACUUACCCUCAAUGUUGUGGCAUCUCAUUGUUCCUAAAAAUUUGACUUUGUUCGGUGAGAUUGGCAGGAUGGAAGCCCUCCGUACUCUGUAUCAACCCUUCAUUAUACAUGUGGAGAUCUUGAAGGGACUCGGUAAUCUGAAGAACUUAAGGGAGUUAAAGCUAUAUCUCUUUGGAUUCAGUGAUUUUGAAGAUGCCCUACUCCCUUCACUCUGUAGGCUCGACAGCCUUCGAUCCCUAACCACCGAUGGGUACACCUUAGGAUAUGAUUGUUUGACUUAUUGGAACCCACCUCCGCGCCAUCUUCAUAGACUGCAUGUACUGAACUGCCCCUUCUCCGUGGUCCCAGAUUGGAUUUUGCAACUCGAAAAUCUCAAAAGCUUGGAGAUGCAACUCGUGUCACUGCCAAGGGUUGGUGUCGAGGUUCUUGCCAGUCUGACCUCGCUGGUGCACCUUAUACUGCGUGUCAGGGGCAGUGUAAGGGAUCAUGCUCCCGAAGAAGACAUGGUUAUUGUCCGUGGUGCGACAUUCCCAAACCUCAAGAAUCUUGUCUUUGCGUAUGAAGUGCCCUGCCUUACAUUCGAGGCAGGCGCCACGCCAAGGCUUCAGAACCUCACUAUAGAGUGUUGUGCACAAGCAGUGCGUCAAGCCGAUGGUGUACUCAAUGGCAUCGAGCACCUAGGGAGUCUCAGGGCGUGCAAGGUGCAUAUUUACAAGUGGGUCAGUCUCUUCAGAGAGAGUUUUGAUAGGUUUGCUGCUGUGGCACAAGGAGGGGAACACGUAUUUCAGGAGGAGGCUCCACACAUGCAGGUGCAGAGUCUCCGGGCUGCGAUCAGCGAGGCGAUCAACAAGCACCCGGGAAAUCCCAGUGUCAGCAUUGUAACUUUUUGA
rnacentral:rRNA from 1 species